GUUGGGCUCCUGAGCAACACGGGGCGCUGACUGGCACGUGAUCGCCGUCUCUUGUGCAGUGCUGGAAAGCUUAGAAAAAAAAUUCUGCCAAACCGAGGAAGCCGAUGUUUGGAGGCGGGAGUUCACCAGAAUACGGUUUCUUAUUUCCAUAGAUAAAGCUACCCUUGUGAUGUGACGUUAUAUUGUGAUUCCUGCUCAUAGAAUUUAGAAUAGAACCUCUGAUUUGUUAUAAAUAGGGAAACCCAACAUGGAGUCACAGUGACCAGUGUGGCACCCAUCUUGAUUGUUUCUAAAGAUAUGAUGUAAGGCUCCUUGCUGCUGGGGUUGUAACUUUUGCACCCCAGGGAUUGUACCUCACAAAAGCCAGGGUCUGAGUGCAGUUGCUGGAGAAGGGUCUCGAUGGACCGCACGCACUACGCUCGCUGGAGACUGCCCGUGUCAGAAGCUGCCGGAGUAGAAGAAGUACUACAUAUUCACCAUGGAAAGUUUGGAAGAUGCUGAGAUUUAAAAUGAAGAAAAUGUAGGGCUUCCCUGGUGGCGCAGUGGUUGAGGGUCCGCCUGCUGAUGCAGGGGACACGGGUUCAUGCCCCGG